rnacentral:rRNA from 1 species
AGUGAACGCUGGCGGUAGGCCUAACACAUGCCAGUCGAACGGCAGCACAGUAAGAGCUUGCUCUUACGGGUGGCGAGUGGCGGACGGGUGAGGAAUACAUCGGAAUCUACUUUUUCGUGGGGGAUAACGUAGGGAAACUUACGCUAAUACCGCAUACGACCUGCGGGUGAAAGCAGGGGAUCUUCGGACCUUGCGCGAUUGAAUGAGCCGAUGUCGGAUUAGCUAGUUGGCGGGGUAAAGGCCCACCAAGGCGACGAUCCGUAGCUGGUCUGAGGGGAUGAUCAGCCACACUGGAACUGAGACACGGUCCAGACUCCUACGGGAGGCAGCAGUGGGGAAUAUUGGACAAUGGGCGCAAGCCUGAUCCAGCCAUACCGCGUGGGUGAAGAAGGCCUUCGGGUUGUAAAGCCCUUUUGUUGGGAAAGAAAAGCAGCAGGUUAAUACCCCGCUGUUCUGACGGUACCCAAAGAAUAAGCACCGGCUAACUUCGUG